rnacentral:rRNA from 1 species
UAGGGAAUCUUCCACAAUGGACGCAAGUCUGAUGGAGCAACGCCGCGUGAGUGAAGAAGGUUUUCGGACCGUAAAGCUCUGUUGUUGGUGAAGAAGGAUAGAGGUAGUAACUGGCCCUUUAUUUGACGGUAAUCAACCAGAAAGUCACGGCUAACUACGUGCCAGCAGCCGCGGUAAUCGUAGGUGGCAAGCGUUGUCCGGAUUUAUUGGGCGUAAAGCGAGCGCAGGCGGAAGAAUAAGUCUGAUGUGAAAGCCCUCGGCUUAACCGAGGAAUUGCAUCGGAAACUGUUUUCUUGAGUGCAGAAGAGGAGAGUAGAACUCCAUGUGUAGCGGUGGAAUGCGUAGAUAUAUGGAAGAAUACCAGUGGCGAAGGCGGCUCUCUGGUCUGCAACUGACGCUGAGGCUCGAAAGCAUGGGUAGCGAACAGGAUUAGAUACCCUGGUAGUCCAUGCCGUAAAACGAUGAGUG